rnacentral:rRNA from 1 species
GGUGCAUUAGCUAGUUGGUGAGGUAACGGCUCACCAAGGGCCACGAUGCAUAGCCGACCUGAGAGGGUGAUCGGCCACACUGGGACUGAGACACGGCCCAGACUCCUACGGGAGGCAGCAGUAGGGAAUCUUCCGCAAUGGACGAAAGUCUGACGGAGCAACGCCGCGUGAGUGAUGAAGGCUUUCGGGUCGUAAAACUCUGUUGUUAGGGAAGAACAAGUAUGAGAGUAACUGCUCGUACCUUGACGGUACCUAACCAGAAAGCCACGGCUAACUACGUGCCAGCAGCCGCGGUAAUACGUAGGUGGCAAGCGUUAUCCGGAAUUAUUGGGCGUAAAGCGCGCGCAGGCGGUUUCUUAAGUCUGAUGUG